rnacentral:ncRNA from 2 species
UAUAAAAGUGGCGAUGGAGCUCGCCUAAUGCUCAGGUUUGAGCUAAUGGCUCCUACCGUAAU